UACGGAGGGUGCAAGCAUUGAUCGGAAUUACUGGGCGUAAAGGGCGCGUAGGCGGCCGCGAAAGUCAGAUGUGAAAUUCUGGGGCUCAACCCCAGAGCAGCAUUUGAAACUGUGUGGCUAGAGUUCAGUUAGGGUAAACGGAGUUCCACGUGUAGCGGUGAAAUGCGUAGAUAUGUGGAAGAACACCGGUGGUGAAGACGGCAUUCUGGACCAAUACUGACGCUGAGGAGCGAAAGCCAGGGGAGCAAACGGG
rnacentral:rRNA from 1 species